GGUGAGAUGGCCGAGCGGUUAAGGCGCCAGACUAAGGACCCAAUCACAUGGUGAUUAUGCAAUAUCUGGUCCGAAAGGGCGUGGGUUCGAAUCCCACUCUCAUCA